AUUGAACGCUGGCGGCAUGCUUUACACAUGCAAGUCGAACGGUAACAGGCCUUCGGGUGCUGACGAGUGGCGAACGGGUGAGUAAUGCAUCGGAACGUACCCAGAGGUGGGGGAUAACGCAGCGAAAGCUGUGCUAAUACCGCAUGUGAUCUGAGGAUGAAAGCGGGGGACCGAGCAGCAAUGUUUGGCCUCGCGCCUUUGGAGCGGCCGAUGUCGGAUUAGCUAGUUGGUGGGGUAAAGGCCUACCAAGGCGACGAUCCGUAGCUGGUCUGAGAGGACGACCGGCAACCGUGGGAUUGAGAAACGGCCCGACCCCUUAGGGAAGGCACAGGGGGGAAUUUUGGGCAAUGGGCGCAAGCCUGAUCCAGCAAUGCCGCGUGCGGGAAGAAGGCCUUCGGGUUGUAAACCGCUUUUGGCAGGAACGAAACGGUGUCCGCUAAUACCGGGCGCUAAUGACGGUACCUGCAGAAUAAGCACCGGCUAACUACGUG
rnacentral:rRNA from 1 species